rnacentral:rRNA from 1 species
UACGUAGGGUGCAAGCGUUAUCCGGAAUUAUUGGGCGUAAAGAGCUCGUAGGCGGUCUGUCGCGUCUGCUGUGAAAACCUAGGGCUUAACUCUGGGCGUGCAGUGGGUACGGGCAGGCUAGAGUGCGGUAGGGGAGACUGGAAUUCCUGGUGUAGCGGUGAAAUGCGCAGAUAUCAGGAGGAACACCGGUGGCGAAGGCGGGUCUCUGGGCCGUAACUGACGCUGAGGAGCGAAAGCAUGGGGAGCGAACAGG